rnacentral:rRNA from 1 species
CGUCAGCUCGUGCCGUGAGGUGUCGGUUAAGUCCCAUACGAGCGCAACCCUUAUCGUUAGUUGCCAUCUGGUAAUGCAGGGGACUCUAGCGAAACUGCCACCGUAAGGUGAGAGGAAGUGGGAUGACGUCAAAUCAGCACGGCCCUUAUGUCCAGGGCUACACACGUGUUACAAUGGUCGGUACAGAGGGCAGCUACCUGGUGACAGGAUGCUAAUCUCGAAAACCGGUCUCAGUUCGGAUCGAAGUCUGCAACUCGACUUCGUGAAGCUGGAUUCGCUAGUAAUCGCGCAUCAGCUAUGGCGCGGUCGAAUACGUUCCCGGGCCUU